rnacentral:rRNA from 1 species
UAGGGAAUCUUCGGCAAUGGGGGCAACCCUGACCGAGCAACGCCGCGUGAGUGAAGAAGGUUUUCGGAUCGUAAAGCUCUGUUGUAAGAGAAGAACGUGUGUGAGAGUGGAAAGUUCACACAGUGACGGUAACUUACCAGAAAGGGACGGCUAACUACGUGCCAGCAGCCGAGGUAAUACGUAGGUCCCGAGCGUUGUCCGGAUUUAUUGGGCGUAAAGCGAGCGCAGGCGGUUUUAUAAGUCUGAAGUUAAAGGCAGUGGCUUAACCAUUGUUCGCUUUGGAAACUGUUAAACUUGAGUGCAGAAGGGGAGAGUGGAAUUCCAUGUGUAGCGGUGAAAUGCGUAGAUAUAUGGAGGAACACCGGUGGCGAAAGCGGCUCUCUGGUCUGUAACUGACGCUGAGGCUCGAAAGCGUGGGGAGCAAACAGG